AGAGUAUCUGAAAAUAGAGAAAAGUGGAGAGUUUGUAGAAAAGGAAAUGCGGAGGCCACGAGAGAGAACCAGGUAAAAAGAGUAAAGGAGUAAUGGCUAGGAAGAGGACUGGCGUCGGAGCGCGAAGAGGGCGCAGGACGAAGAAGCGGGGUGCCGUCACCCCACUCCCGCGCCUUGCUGGUGGGGUUCACCGUGUGGGCGACCAGCCUCCUCCGCGGGAGUCACACUUGGGGAGAAGAGAAGGGGAGCAGAGAGGAAGCCUAGGACAGUGACCAAGGAGGGCGUGGGGCAGCACCAGGGGUUCAAGGAGGUUGGGGCUCAGCCCUGAGGGAAGCAGGGCCUGGGGAGCCUGGCGGUGGGAGCUCCCAGAGGGGCCAGAGAGGGCUCUUUCUGCCUGUGUGGGAGGAGAACACUCACCCUGGAGGGGCUCCCAGAAAGAGGAGGCACAGUCCAUGCCAGGGUCCUUUAACCCUCAGUGCCCUCAGGGACACUCCCAAAAUUUGUCACUGGCAUCUAUUUCAGCUCCUCUCCCCUCUGGAGGGAAGAAAACGGGGGAGGCAAUGAGAGGGGACCAAGUGAAAGGACUAAAGGCUGGAAAGAGGGAUGAGCCUGGGCUAAGCCUGGGCACAGGACAGAUCUACCUGAUUCAAAAUCUGGGAGAAAAAUCCAAGAUGUUUAUAAGGUUUUUGAAGCCAGACACUUUGACUCAACUUUCACUGCUGCUUGUAUGCUCUCUGGUCUACUCCACCAUCUCAAUCCAACAGGGCGCCCACUGGCAAGGCAGCUGCUGGCCUGCAGGCAGGGGCUGCAAGCUUGCUGAGGCCCGGGGCUCUGCUGGAUCUGGGUGGACAGAGGCUGGCCGUGACCAUCCUCCCCAGGCCCAUCCCUGCUGAACAGGAACAGAGAGCCUUAGCGGCAGAUCAGAGGAGGUGGAGAUCCAGGAGGGCUGGCUGUCCAGGAUGUCCCCUCACCUUCCGCCAGCGACCGCCAGGUGGAGCUGCUGCUUCCUCUCCUGCAUCUCUACCCCUUCUCCGGAACCCCGGCCGCAGCGCCUACGGCCUUCCGGGCUGCGCACGCUCCACGCUGGGCUAGCCGAGCCUCCGCAGCUCCGGAGGACUGGACGCUCCGCCCGCAGGAAGGAAGGCCUUGCCCAGAAGUCAGCGCAGCCUGGAGGCCAUCAGACUCAGAAAUUACUCUUACACUAGAUGAAAACAGUGCAUUACCUGGAGUUCAUAGACUUGAAAUGAACACAUGACUGGCAGGACUUGUAGCCCCCUUGCUGGAGAGAGGUGAGUGUUGUCUCAUGUAAGGUGAAAGCCUGAACUUUGUAUGAAAGAUACAAAUUCAUAGAGAAGGGAUGCAGAGUGAAUUAGGAAUAAAAGGUGCCACCUGGAGCCUAUUUGUCUGCCCUCCCCAAUGGGCUCAGAUUUUCAGUGGGGUGGGGGUGGGGGAUGGGAGGUGCUGAUGACA